GCACGAAACUACCGAAUAGCGCUCAGAUCCUAUUCACACAGUUCAAUUGCCAUGGAGCCGAAGUCUUUAACUACACGAAUGGGCUCCAUGGCAUAGCUAUCUGGGUUAACACAUUCACAUAAAGUCUGGUCCAUAGUCCAAAGGCAAGAGGCGGGCAAGCAGCCCCCUCCAAGGACAUGUGGCGAGGCCGGUUUCGCCACAGAUGGCAUGGCAGACUCAUCCGAUCAACACUGUCGGCACGAAUCUGUGCUGCAUUAGCCAAAGCCAUUAGCUUUGUAGACCCAUGGCACAUCCAGCACCCGACAGACAUUGAUUAUACCUGUCAUACAGCAGCACAGAUCAGUUACUCCCGAAUUGACCGCUUCCUUAUUCCCGCCACCUCAUUGCCCACAAUCGAAGAGUCCAGCAUUGGACUCCUCUUAGGGUCGGACCAUGCUCCAAUUACCCUGAGCAUAAGAGAAAACUUCCCCAAUAUAAUUAAUUGGAAGCUCAAUGAAUCCCUUCUCACAGACCCCUCCAUAGUCUCCCAAAUCUCUACAGACUUACAACACUAUUCCCGUGAAAACUAAAUUUUUGACUCCCCGAUUGACCAGAUCUGGUUAGCGCAUAAAGCAUUAAUUCGAGGCAGCUUUAUCAAGCAUGCCAGCCACGCCAAGAAAUUAAGACUUUCCACAUAAAGCUUGCUCAUAGCGGAGAUUACUAAGCUAACACAUUCUAAUAAACACGAGCCUAACUCAACCACGUACACUAAACUGCUCCAUCUCCAGGCUCAACUGAAAAAUAGGGAGCUAGCCAAAACAACAUAUUUACUCCGCAAGUCUAAAUACAAUUUCUUUGCCAAUGGCAACAGGGCAGGCGCCAAAUUGGCAUCACAACUAAAGCACAGGUCUGUCGCCUACAGGAUUGCCUUCCUAGAAAAUGGCAAAGGAAAAAAAAGUUAGACCCACAUGCUAUUGUUAACCAAUUAGCCGAAUAUUAUGGUGAUCUGUACAACCUGAAAAAUGAUCCACAGACAGUCCUUCCCACCCAAACCGAAAUUGACGAUUUCUUAACAUACCUCGACUUUCCCUGAUUGACAGAGGGAGACCUUGACCUUCUGCAAAAACCUUUUUCCCUAGACGAAAUCACAAGUCAUAUCCAACCUCCCAGCUCGCAAAGCUCCGGGCCCAGAUGGCCUCUCAAACAAGUAUUAUCAAACCUUUUCCUCUAUUGUAUCCCCACAUUUGUUAAUUCUGCUGAACCACUCCGACGUGAAAGGUGCUCUUCCGGAGGAAAUGCUCAUGGCACAUAUAUCGACCCUCCCUAAACCCAGUAAACCCCCAACCCAAUGCAAGAACUUUAGACCCAUCUCUCUAUUUAAUGGGGACGCCAAGAUUUACGCCAAACGUGUUAGCAACCGAUUUGCCCCUUUACUCCACAAGCUUGUACAUAACAACCAGUCGGACUUUAUCCUAGGCCGCCAGGGAUCAGACAAUACCAGAAAAAUACUUAACAUCUUGUCAACCCUGGAGACCCGGGGUACUAAGGGCCUUUUUAUCUCAUUAGAUGCAGAAAAGGCCUCAACCAGCUGAACUGGGCGUAUAUGACUACUGUACUGUCUAAAUUCAAUUUUCCAGAAAAAACAAUAUGAGGCAUCAUGGACUUCUAUGGCACCCCUACAGCCAGAGUCUCGUACUGGGGAUUCCUGUCUACGCCCUUUUCCAUCACUAAUGGAACCCGACAGGGUUGUCCCUUAUCACUACUACUGUACAUACUGUACCUUGAACCCCUAGCAUGCAAGAUCCGCAAACAUCCCUUAAUAUAAGGUAUCCCCAUUCAUGGCAGAGAAUAUAGUCUAGCAUUAUUUGCAGACGAUAUCUUUAUAGCACUUUUGGACCCCCUACAAUCCCUUCCUCCUCUCCUAGAUUUACUAUGACCGUUCGGUAAUUUUUCUCAUUAUCGGUUAAAUCAAGACAGGACCCAAGUCCUUCCUAUUAAUCUCCCUCCGCAACAGCUACUCAUUCGACUGGAGAUCAACCUACCUCACUUAGCUGGGGGUAAAAAUUG
rnacentral:lncRNA from 1 species